rnacentral:tRNA from 11 species
AGAGAGGUGGCCGAGUGGUCGAAGGCGCACGCCUGGAAAGUGUGUAUACGCCAAAAGCGUAUCGAGGGUUCGAAUCCCUUCCUCUCUGCAA